AUCACCGAGUACGCCGAGUUCUUGGGGAAUCUCACCAACGUCGUCUCCCAGUAUCUCAAGAAGCUCCUAGCGACCUCGCCAAUAAGCGGCCUUGAUAUCUAGAAGCAUCAUUUCGAUCAAUAACUCGCUCUCUUUCAAUCUUCGACCCAUGGACUACAAAGUCAAGUUCGCUGACCAUACUUCAUGAUAUCUGGGUUUGAGCAAAUAGGGUUCUGGGACUUCUUUUUUUCUCUCCCUUAUUCUAAAGGGCACUCAAGUCAGGGAGAUUGGCGGGUGAUGAAAAGACAUGAUGAGGUGAUGCUGGGACACUUGUAGACUCCUAUAUUUCUAGAAAGGUAGUGCAAUACAAGGAGCAAAUUGCAACACUUGAAAAACACGAGGACAUAACGCAUCAAUGCUUUUCAGUACAAAGAGCAAAUGAAGAGCUUGCAGGAGAGGAAGGAGGCGUUUAAUAUGAUUACUGCUAUCUAUGACUACUGCGAGCUUUACUGGUGUUAUGCUCCUUCAGCGUCUGUAAAUAGACUAUGCACUAUGUGGUCCAUAUGUAAAUUAUCUUAUACUUUUGCUACUUUGAUCAAUCUUCCUACCUAUUUCCAUACUCUUCUAUUGCUUCUGGCUCUAAAAUCACAAACAAGACAUAUCUAGCCUAUAUCAAAACUUGUUCCCUUCAACGGGCAUGCAUUUGUGCUGUGCACGAAAUUGAACCUAGUUAUUUUACAAAUUUAUGUUGCAACCUUGUUGAGGGUUUACAAUUUCUAUAAUCAGUAGGUUGAUGAACACAAGGCAAGCAUUGAUUUAAGACAAUUCAAAAGAUUGAGGGAGAUAGUGAAGUUAGGGGGAGGGGCGAAACACGCUGCACCUACUUUAUCUGAUAAGGCCUAGGGGCUGAGGAAGAUGAGAGACAAGCUUAGGAACUUUGAGGAGGUACAAGCUCAACGAAAGGUAAUCGUGAAACUAUUGGAAAGACAACUUGUGCUCCAUGAGGUAGAUAGAUCAAACAUUGCUCGUACGACUUGAUGCUUGGUUAUCUGCCUUGGUGGUGUUAAUGUUUUUGAUAUUUCACUAAUUUAUCUUGAAUGAUGUGAAGAAACUGUAUCCCUAUUCUAUUUAUUGUUGUGAAGGUAAUUUGUUACUCUUAAAGAUUUUUCAAUGUGCUUUU